CCUAUAAGACUGGGAUAACUUCGGGAAACCGGAGCUAAUACCGGAUAACAUAUUGAACCGCAUGGUUCAAUAGUGAAAGGCGGCUUUGCUGUCACUUAUAGAUGGAUCCGCGCCGUAUUAGCUAGUUGGUAAGGUAACGGCUUACCAAGGCAACGAUACGUAGCCGACCUGAGAGGGUGAUCGGCCACACUGGAACUGAGACACGGUCCAGACUCCUACGGGAGGCAGCAGUAGGGAAUCUUCCGCAAUGGGCGAAAGCCUGACGGAGCAACGCCGCGUGAGUGAUGAAGGUCUUCGGAUCGUAAAACUCUGUUAUCAGGGAAGAACAAAUGUGUAAGUAACUGUGCACAUCUUGACGGUACCUGAUCAGAAAGCCACGGCUAACUACGUGCCAGCAGCCGCGGUAAUACGUAGGUGGCAAGCGUUAUCCGGAAUUAUUGGGCGUAAAGCGCGCGUAGGCGGUUUUUUAAGUCUGAUGUGAAAGCCCACGGCUCAACCGUGGAGGGUCAUUGGAAACUGGAAAACUUGAGUGCAGAAGAGGAAAGUGGAAUUCCAUGUGUAGCGGUGAAAUGCGCAGAGAUAUGGAGGAACACCAGUGGCGAAGGCGACUUUCUGGUCUGUAACUGACGCUGAUGUGCGAAA
rnacentral:rRNA from 1 species